rfam:Aedes albopictus isolate Foshan contig100153, whole genome shotgun sequence.
GGCUUGGUAGCUUAUUUGGUAAAGCACUUGUCUAGCGAAAAAGGGUCGUGAGUUCAAAUCUCACCUGAGCUG